UCUGGACAACUUUGCUGGAAGCAAACGUGCUAACAAUUGGUGAGACAAUCAUUUUUUGCCACAUUUGAGCAAAACUUGCAUUUGGGUCAAGCAGAUUUGACAGACCAAGAAAUAGUAUCUGAAGAAGCAUUAAACAUUCUCCCAUCCUAUUGAAAGAAAUUAGUCAAUAUUGAUGUCGACGUGUGGUACAUGAUCUUGUACUAUUGAAGAUACCAACAUAUUGUGGCAGAACCACCCGAAUUAUUCCAGCUUAAGUGCCUAAGUCACGCCUCAGGGGCCGUAACACACUUAAAUCGGAAUAACCCGUCAGUCCCUCAGAUCUAGUCUGAUAGAGCCACUUAACCAGGAUCAAAUUCCACAAUCUCACUCGAAGGUGAGUCACAGAAGAAAUACAAUAAAACAGGAAACCUCAAAUUAAGUACUGAGUUAUUACAUAAAUCGGAGUUUUUGAGUAGCAAAUAAAGUUCACAACAUAAAGUGCAGCGGAUAAUCGAUGUCGUCGUAAUGAGGAAAUGGGCAAGGCCUAGCCCACUACUCCUCAGGCUCCUCUCCUGCCGGAGCAACAUCCCACUCGACCGUCCAACCCGGUGGCAGGGUGGUAGGCCAAGUCACACCAUCAACUACAUCCUGCAUGGUACCUGCAAAAAUGGUGCCACAAGCAAGGCUGAGUAUACUAAUACUCAGCUAGACUUAACCGGUGUGAGGAGUCUACUCCUCUACCUCUAGACUAUGCAGCUGUUUGGCUGAGGGGUUUGGUUUGCCAAAAGCACUAGCUAUUUCUAAAAUCAACUUUUAGCUUUUCAAUUUCUACCAUCAUUAAUUCAGCUAGAUUUGCUCCUUCUAAGCAUACAUGGUAACAAGCAAUUAGCUCAAUCAACAAGUUAUCUCAUGUAAUCCACAUUUCACUUCUUACUCGAUGCAGUACAAGGAAUCAAGCAGUCUCAUUAGCUGCGAGAAGCAGACGAUUCGAAUCGAGUUUUAACCUUGCAAGGUAAACCUAAACACACGGCAUGUCAGGGUACUCCGACCCCACACAUGACAACCGUCCCCAUCGAUUCCCCGUUCGCGUCCAGGCCUCACCGUCUUGGCAUACAAUGCUCCACUGACCCCGGCUGCCGCCGUGCAGUGACCGCACUUGUACCCACCAUAGCUAGCAUGGGAGACCCUGUCUCAGGUCGCAUGAGGGAUAAAGUCCGCGCCCGGCUUCACUCAGGUACUAGGUUUACCGGUUACCAUUUUUCCCGGCAUGUGCUUAGUACGUUCAAAAGCUUGACUCAGGUAUCCACACAUUAAUCCUUAAUUCAUUUUUCCCGUCUCAUGGACAAGGCAUCCUCCCUGGAUCCAAGUCCAUAGACCAACAUAGAUCCCGUUAUCAAGAUGAAUACAAUCAAUUCCUGACCUCGCGCGAGUGCUAGAAAAAUCACUCGACUUCUACCGAGAUCCUGAUUAGCAAGCAGUUACUCGACCUAGCAUACUAGUAUUCAUCUCAAAAGGAAUCCUAAGUUCAUGCAACUAGAGGUUUCAAGCAACUCCUACACUUAAGUGCACAUUACAGUCCUACAAGCAUUAAGUGUAGUAAAGUAGCAUAUAAUAACAUGGUUAUGCAUAAAACCGGGGCUUGCCUUCAAUUGCUGGGGCUGCGGGGAGAUCCUCAAUAGCAGCCUCUGAAGCCUGCUCCUGGUCCUCCUCUUGGACAGGUCCUUGCUCGGGGAUGAGCACGUACUCUCCGUCGGCAAGAUUACAAUCUAAUGAAUGCAAUGCGUAAGAUAUAUGCAUGAUAUGAUAUGUGCUUUUAGAAAUUAUAACUUUACAGGUGUAUGGUUCUUUUGAAUUUAAACAAGUUAACCUUACUUAUGUAAAACCUUUUAGUGGUAUACUUGGUAAAUUGGGUUAGUUUUAAUGGGAUGAGGUUUAUUCCUUCUUCUCUUUUCUUUUAUUCUUUUUAAUGUUUUGGAGUAGGUUUGAACUACAAGUUGCUUUUAUAAAAUUCCAAAAAUUCUGCAAAAAUUACAGUGGCUUGUUACUGGUGUAUGAUUCUCUGUCUCAAAAUUUGGGGUUCAGAAAGUGAAUGGUUUUCUCUGGACAAAAUUACCAAAUUUUAGAGCAGAAGGGGUACUUUGAACUACAACUAUUAUUUAACAGUGGGUAAUUCUUUAAAACUUAUUUUUCUGGCUUUUAGGUGUCAUAACAUGACUUGAUACAAUUUUCUAGUCAUUAAUACCCUUUAAUUCUUUCCCUAAGAUUUUCUUAAGGUUUCUAGCCAAAGGGGUGCUUUCUACUACCACUAUACUUGAAAAACAUCAAACAACAGAGUUCUUAUUUUUCUUAGUUAGUAUUUUAUGCAAGAGCAAUCAUUCUGAAGUUUGGCUUCUUUUUGCUUAAGGGAAGGGGUGGUUUGCAUUAUUUAAGUCAAAUGGCCUUUCUCACAAAUUACUAGCAAAAGGCAUGGGUUCACUUCUUUUUCAUGGGUUUGUAUUUUUCUUUGGUGGUUUAUCUCAUCAUGGACUUAGCAAAUUUUUGGUUGCCCAAUGUCACAUUAUUUGAGGUUGUUUAUGAUUUAUUGGGAAAAUGCCUUAUUACCACUUUGUAUUUAUUUUCCUUACUUAAAACGUUAGGCUGGGGUGCUCUGUAUUUUUGUAGUGGGGCUCUGGUGGUUAUAAGUUCACUGGAUUUUUGUUAACCACUUUGGUUAUAGUUUUGCAAUUCUAAUAAUUGAUUUUCAGUCUACAUAAGGCUAAUUAAAGCAUCUUAAUUAGAAACUGGUCCUAAUUAAUGGUCUCUGCAUUUUUCCUAGGUUCUUUGUUGCAUAAGUAAACUAGGAAAAAUAUUGCUAAUUACUGUUCAACAUUUUCUAAUGCUUUUCUGAUUUUCUCUAAGUUUUGGACAAAAUGGCUUUAAAUGAAUAACUACAUCAUAAUCUCUAAUACUGGGGCUCCUACUAUUUUUAAACAGUGUCUAAUUAAGGUAUAAGCAUCUACAAAUUUUCUUAAGCUCAGCACAAAAGAAAAACUAAUUUUCCUUAAUUAAACAAGGUUUAGGGGGUUUCUGUUUUUAAUUUUAAACUCUAAAAUUUAGAACAUAAAGCAUAUGGUUCACUAUUUUUAAAUGAAGGGUCAUAAUAUUCCAGAGUUAGCAAAAUUGGUUUGACAGCUUUUCAUUAAGAUUUCAUCAAGUUAUGGAUUUUCUAAGUUCUCUGGUUAUUUUAAAAGAAUAACAGAAUUGAUUAAAUGGAAAACCACUUUGCACUGGGGUCCCUGGCGGUUUUUCUAAGUUUCCUUCGCGAAUCAGUCCUUAGGUUACUAUUCACAUGAGUCGCUGACAUUACAGAAAACCCCUCGGGUUCUACAAAACCUAACCCGAGGUCCUUCUUCUACCUCCAACAGUAGCCGCGGCGAAGAAAAGGGCGGAGGGGCUUACCGGCGGCGAGACUGUUCCGGUGAAGUGGUCGAGGACGAAGGGGAGGUCGCGGGGAUCACAACGGUGUGCGGAACGCCGUCGGAGAUGGCUGGAGUCGGUCGGUCCACGCGCGCAGGCGGGGAUGCUCGUCGGCGGCGAGGAGACCGGCCUGGUCACGGCGAGAUAGUUCAAUCAAAUAGGUCAGGGAGGUCCACGGGUUGCCAGAGAAGACAUGAGUGAAAGGAAUCGGGCGGAGACUCACUGGAUAGCUCGGUCCACGCGCGGCGGCGGAAGACCGAAGUCCGGUGAGGUUGAUCUCGGGCCUCCGGUGAAGUCCGGUCGGGUCCGAGGGCUUGGCAAGCUUCACGGGCUACUGGCGGAGCUAGCCGAAGCACUGGUUGGGCUGGAGGGUGGCUGGAGUGGGCUGGCCACGGCGGCCGUAGCUCUGGCGGCAAUGGCGGGCGGAAAUACGCUCGCCGGAGCUAAGGAACGGUGGCUGGCCGGUGAGGGUGAGUGCGGGGCGAAGAGAGGUGCGCCCGGGGAGGCUUUAUAGGCGCGGGCGGGCACGGCCGAGGGCGUGGGCGCGCGGCGGACUUGACCGGACGCCGGGGUGAGCGCGCGCGCGGGUUGGGCGAGCUCUGGCGUGCCGACCAGGGUCGAACACGUGUGCCCGUGCGUUCUGCCCAAGCUCUGGCGCGUGUGGUCGCUCAUCCGAGCCUGCUCUCGCCUUAGUCAGUGCACGAAACCUCUUCUCCUCCCUACAAGCUACCAUUCUUGUGUGGGUGCCAUAGGAUUUUGCCUACUGGUUGCAGAGAUAUGGAGCCAGGAAAUCUGGUCUGUCUCCCUGCCUAAACCCGAGGCAAAUCCAAGGUUUUGUCGUGUCUAGGGCUCGCGUCCCAAUGCCAUCUUCUGGCACACGACAGAGGGGUUAGUUAGACACAAUUUUGUCAAUGGGGCCAUUAGGAUUCGAGUUAGGGAUCAAGGUGAACAUCCCUGAUCUUUGGCUCAAGGUCUGAAUUUCAGAAUUCUGAAAUUCAGAAUUCCCAAUGAGUCCCAACAAAAGAAGCUUGAUUUGGGGUUUUAUUUGGAUUAUUUUGGCUAAGCUUCCUCAAUCUUUCUUGUUGCUUAUCAAAUAUACUUUAACUUAUAUAAUUGGCUCAACUCAAAAUUUUAAACUUUUCAUUCCCUUUUUCUUAUUUUCUUGAAUUUUGUUCAUGGGAUUCACUUAGGGUUCUUAAUUAGGGUUGCACAUUCUUAUCUUUUCAAAGACUCAAUUGUUUUGAUCAUGACACAUUUAAGUAUAUACUUGGUGAAUUCUUUAUUACUUAAGUUAAUUUGAUGCUCAUGCUUACUUUGGUUCACAUAAAAUAAUGGUUCUUGGUUUGGCUUUUUAAGAGAAACCCUAGGUGACACUGGGGUGUCACAGCCUUCCCCCUUAAAAGGAAUCUCGUCCGAGAUUCGGGCCAGAGUCCUUCCGAGGUGAAGCGAAGGGUGAGACUGAUAGGAAAAGGGUGGGGAUUGUUAUUAUUAGGGCAAAACUGCUCUUCGAAUGUCAUUCUCUUUGCAACUUCAGAAGGAAGUCCUUUUAAGUUUUACUUUAUAGUUACUUCAUUCUGAAUUAAGAUCAUAUUUUUGGAAAUUAGAUUCGAAAGGCAGGAGGAGGGGUUGGGGGUGAUUACAUACCAGCUUCCUUAGGUAGGCAAUCGGGGAAGUUGGAUCUUAAGAAUUCCUCGGUUUCCCAAGUAGCUUCCUCCUCUGAGUGAUUACUCCACUGGACCUUGAACAUCUCGAUCGAUUUAGCCUGAGUUGAUCUUUCCUUGCAAUCCAGAAUCUUGGAGGGGUACUCUUGGUACGAGAGAUCUGGCUCUAUCUCCAAUUCUGGCUCUGCUAUGAUCUCAGUCGGCAAUCGAAUACACUUCUUCAGCUGAGAUACAUGGAAUACAUUGUGAAUGGCAGACAUCUUUGAAGGUAACUUCAGCUUGUAUGCCACGGGUCCACAUGCUUCAAUGAUCUCAUAAGGUCCAAUGUAACGAGGGGCUAGCUUGCCUUUGAUCCCAAACCUCUGCACUCCCUUGGUGGGUGAUACCUUGAGGUAUACAAAACUUCCCACCUCGAACUGGAGAGGUUUCCUUCUUUUAUCAUGAUAGCUCUUCUGCCUGGCCUGAGCAGCUUCUAGAUUCUUCCUGAUUAGCUUGACCUUCCUUUCGGCUUCAGUCACCAAAUCAGGUCCAAAAACUUCUCUUUCACCAGGUUGAGACCAAUUGAGUGGUGUCCUGCACCUUCUUCCAUAGAGAGCUUCAAAAGGUGCCAUCUUUAGGCUGGAUUGAUAACUAUUGUUAUAAGCAAACUCUGCCAAGGAGAGGUGCUUAUCCCAGUUCUUGCCACAAUCGAUUGCACAAGCUCUCAGCAUAUCUUCCAGAAUCUGGUUUACUCUUUCCGUCUGACCAUCAGUCUGUGGGUGGUAAGCUGAACUCCUGAUUAGCUUGGUUCCCAAAGACUCUUGCAAUUGUUCCCAAAAUCUGGCAACAAAUUGGGCUCCUCGGUCAGAAACAAUGGUCCGAGGUAAUCCAUGCAAACACACGAUCCGGUCAAUAUACAAUUCUGCAUACUUCUGAGCCUUAUCAGUGGUGUGCACAGGAAGAAAAUGCGCCACUUUCGUCAAUCGGUCCACAAUAACCCAAAUUGAAUUAUGAUGACGAGAGGUGUUGGGUAGACCCACAAUGAAAUCCAUGCUGAUGUCGUCCCACUUCCACGAAGGUACAGACAGUGGUCGCAAAGCUCCAGCGGACUUCAAGUGGCUUGCCUUUAUCCUCUGACAGGUGUCACACUCUGAUACAUACUGGGCUAUCUCCCUCUUCAUUCUGGUCCACCAGUACAAAAGCUUCAAAUCAUGGUACAUCUUGGUGCUUCCCGGAUGCAUAGAGAAUUUGGAGAGAUGAGCCUCAUCCAAAAUUUUCUUCUUGAGAUCCUGGUCCUUAGGAAUUACCAAUCUGUUUUUGAACCAUAACACACCCUUCUCAUCCUGGCGGAAACAAUUAUACUUCUCGACCUUCUGAUGGAGAUUCUUCUUGAUAAUCUGCACUCCCUUGUCACUGAGCUGGGCCAUGAUAAUCUGGUCUUGCAAAGCUGGCUCAACAGCAAUGUGAGACAAAGAACCAGAAGGAAUCACUUCAAUCUGCAUCUUGCUCAACUCAUCACACAAGGUGUUAUCAUGAGAAUCCAUCAGAAUACAGUUGCAUUGCAACUUCCGACUCAAGGCAUCUGCUACCACAUUAGCUUUCCCUGGGUGAUAAUGUACCUCCAGGUCAUAAUCCUUGAUCAGCUCUAGCCAUCUUCUCUGCCUCAUGUUGAGAUCAGCCUGAGUAAAAAUGUACUUAAGGCUCUUAUGAUCAGUGAAGAUGUUGCAGUGGGUUCCCAUUAGAUAGUGCCUCCACAUCUUCAAUGCAUGAACCACUGCUGCUAACUCAAGGUCAUGAGUAGGAUAAUUUUGCUCAUGAGGCCUGAGUGCUCUUGAGGCAUAAGCAAUGACUCGGUUGUCUUGCAUCAAGACACAACCUAGCCCGGUGCCAGAGGCAUCGCAAUACACAUCAAAAGGCUUGCUGCUGUCGGGUUGCGCCAAUACUGGGGCGGUGGUCAGAUGCUGCCUUAAUGCAUGGAAGGCAUUUUCGCACUUCUGACUCCACACAAACUUGACUUCUUUCUUCAGCAACUCAGUAAUAGGCUUCGCAAUUCGAGAGAAGUCCGGAAUAAAUCUUCGGUAAUAACCAGCUAAUCCCAGAAAACUCCGAAUCUGGCGAACAGUCGUUGGUGGCCUCCAGUUCAUCACCUCUUGCACUUUAUCAGGAUCAACAGCUAUUCCAGCCUGAGAGAUAGUGUGACCCAAGAAUUUGAUUUCCUUUAGCCAAAAAUCACACUUGGAUAACUUGGCAUAAAGGUGGUGCUCUCGCAGACGUUGAAGCACUACAUGCAAAUGCCCGACAUGUUCUUCUUCGUUCCUUGAGUACACCAGAAUAUCAUCGAUGAAAACCACCACGAACUUGUCCAAUUCCGGCAUGAAAACAGAAUUCAUCAGAUACAUGAAAUAUACUGGUGCAUUUGUCAGCCCGAAUGACAUCACCAAGAAUUCAUAUGACUCAUAUCUGGUUGAGAAUGCCGUCUUCGGAAUAUCACUUGCUCGUAUUUUGAUCUGAUGGUAGCCAGAGCGAAGGUCUAUCUUGGAAAACACCUUGGCCCCGACCAACUGGUCAAAGAGAACAUCAAUACGAGGCAAAGGAUACUUGUUCUUGAUAGUUACCGCAUUAAGAGGGCGGUAAUCUAUACACAGCCUCAAGCUUUCAUCCUUCUUCUUCACAAACAGUGCUGGACAUCCCCAAGGCGAAGUGCUUGGGCGAAUGAAUCCCUUAUCCAGCAACUCUUGCAACUGCUUCUUCAACUCUGCCAACUCAGCGGGUGGCAUUCGGUAGGGCCUCUUGGAAAUUGGGGCCGUUCCCGGUUGCAACUCGAUGGCGAAUUCAAUAUCCCGAUCCGGUGGCAUCCCUGGCAAUUCAUCAGGAAAGACAUCUGCAUACUCACAGACCACUGGGAUCUUCUUCAGGGGUAACUCCGUCAUAGAGAAAGCACAUGACUGAGAAGAACCCUGACUAGGCAGAAUCAAAGUGAAAUUCCCGCAGAAAGGAGAAUUAACUUCCACGGUACGACUGGCUAUAUCAAGCACAACUUGGUGCAAGGUCAUCCAAUUUUCUCCUAGAAUAAUGUCCACAUUUUCCAAUCCCAACACAAGAAGAGUGGUUUUGACAAUGUGGCUUCCCAGUUGAAUAGGCACACUUUGGUUUAAUUGAUUAGUUGCAAUUUUACCCCCAGGUGUGACUAUCAUGAAUGACCCUUUUGAGUGAGAGAAUGGCAGUUUGCAAUUAGCACUGAACUUUUGGCUAAUGAAGCUAUGAGAUGCACCAGAAUCAAACAGAAUUAAAGCAGGUUGAUUAUAAACUGAAAAGGUACCGGUCAUGAUAGGAGCUCCUUCCGGCACUUCCUCUAGAGCAGUGAAGUUGAGCUUCCCUUGCCUGACUUGCACCUUCUGCUUUCUUCCCUUGUCUUGAUUUGGUGCUGGCAUCUGCCUCUGCUGGUUCCUGGGACAAUUCUUGGCAUAGUGGCCCACAUUGCCACAAGUGAAACACUUGUUCCCAUUGCCCUGGCGGAACUGCUGCUGCUGCGGAGGCUGAUUGUUUCUUGGGGCGGGAGCUGGAUAGCGGUUGGGUGCCGGCUGCUGCUGCUGCUGAGGUGGCCUGAUCACCCAUCUGCCUGCCUGCUGCUGAAAACCCCUGCUCUGAUUGUGAGAAACAAUCCGGAACCUCUGAGCCUGAGCGGAUGGUGCUGCCAUUGGUGCCUUCCUCUUCUUCUCUGCCCGGUGAGCAACAAUGCAAUCCUCCUGAGAGAUGGCCAUGUUGACCAACUCAUUGAAGCUAUCAGCCCGGACAGUGUUGAGUCGUUCCCGCAGCUUGGUAUUGAGACCCCUGCGGAAGCGAUCCCUCUUCUUUUCAUCAGAAUCAGCAUGAUACCCUGCAUACUGGCAUAAGUCGUUGAAGGCUUGCGCAUACUGCAGUACCGUGCGGGUUCCUUGAUUGAGGGCCAGGAAUUCGUUCAACUUCCGAUCAAGAAUGCCAGCUGGAAUGUGGUGUCCUCUGAAGGCAGUCUUGAAUUCCUCCCAAGAUACCUCACGAUCAGCGGGGAGCAUAGCACGGAAGUGGUCCCACCAAGUCCGAGCAGGGCCGCGAAGCUGCUGUGCGGCGAAGCGAGCCUUGGCCUCAUCAGGGCAGUCUCCUGUGAGGAGGGGAAACUUGGACUCGACGACGCGAAGCCACACGUCGGCGUCCAACGGAUCCUCUGCCUUGGUGAACAAGGGCGGCUGCGUGCUCAGAAACUCCUGGUACGUUGCCAUAGCCGGAGGUCGCUGAUGCUGGCCUCCACCAUGAUGCUGAGGGUGGGGCUGGCGCUGCAAGAGCUGUCGCAGAAUUUCAUUCUGCUGGGCCAUCAGCUCCUGCACUGUGGGAGCUGGAGGAGGUGGCGGGGGAGCUUGCUCAUUUUGCCCGCGACGCUGCCUCGCUGCCAUCUGAAAACAGAGAUUGUCGCCAUUGUUAUCCCAAUUCAUAUUUCCGAACGACAAGACAUCAUCUCAUAUGGAAGGAAAAUGCCAUAAUCAUAAUAUUAGGUUCGAAAUGAAGAUAACAUGGUGACAAGGGUCCCACAGACAUCAAAAGUUCACAGGGUUACAUUAAAUAGGGGAAGUACCCACAAGCCUAGUCCAAAAUGUGAUACUACUAAGCUCGCAUAGGUUUCUAUCCGCCUAAAAAUGUCAAAGCGACUGCUUAACCCUGAGCGGUGGAAGCGACACUGGAUACGGGUGAAGGGGGCAUCGCGGAGGUAGUCCCAUUGGCACCAGGGGCUGGUCCUAGCUCCUCGGGAGCCUCUUCUCCCUCGCUUCCUGCUUCAUUGGCCUCCAUCUCCAGGUGGUGCAUGUCCAAGUGGUCAUUGGCUUCCUCAAGUUCCCUCUGCACGUCGUGAAGCUGGUUCUCCAAGACAUCAAUAGUGUUAUCUCGGAUCUCCACUUGCUGCUCCAGGGUGGUGAUACGCUGGUUCAGCCUCUCCACCUGCAGAUCCUUCUCCACCAACUCUGUGGAUAGGUCGACCACAAAAUCUUCCCGACUGUCGAGGGUGAGCUUGGCAGCCUGAGCGGUGUUAGCAAGAAGUGUCAUAGCAUCGCUCUGAAGGGCCUGAAGGCGGUACAGCGCACUCAUGCACUGAACAGUGACCCUCCCAACCAAGUCAGGAUACAUUGCCCACACAUCCUUCACAUGGCUCACGCGGUUACACCACAUGGGAUCAUCCUUCUUCUCAGCAGGGAAGAGUCCCAAGGGGUGCAUCACCAUCUCCAGGGGAUGGUAGCCACAGAAAGUCGUCAGAGUCUUCAUGGCUGCUGCCUCAACGGUGUCGUCCGUCCUGAGUCCAAUCGUCUCAGAGUCAAGAGAAUGCCAACCCGGCUGAAGGGGAUGAGCCUCCAAAGUUAGCCAGACCCGACAACGAGGUACCCGAUGCUCCUCAUACAACUGCACUGUGUACAAAGGGGGCGUAGGGUAACCGGCGGAGUUAAGCACUUCCCACAAGAUGGAAGGAAAGCCAUCGCGAGAAAGGAAGUCAGAACUGAAACGAGAAUCUCCUCCACUGGCGGGGGUGGGUGAAUUCAUCUGCGGAAGGGAAUCAAAGAUAAAGAUUAUGGUGGAAGGAAAAAGAAAAAGAGAGCCCGGAUGAUUUCGAAGAAAAGGGGUUAGCUCAAUUUUAAUUCCUCUUUGUGUUUUAUAAUGCAUGCAUGCGGAAAGAAACGUUGCCUCUCAAAAGGAAAAUAGGGUGCCUUUUUAGGGCAUCCUAAAAUAUAAGUAUUGGCCCACAGGGCCUAAUUAAUUAGCCACCUAUUUCUCCCUCUAUGCCUAAGGCCUUUCGUCCUAGGUCUAGCGGUCUAGUCCUGACGAUCCGUAACAGUUUCUAGGCAAGUUUUAGAUUUUGAAAAUUGGUAUUCAUGGUUUAUUGUCCUCAUCUAUGGUGGAAUUUGCUCCGAUACCAGCUGUGGCAGAACCACCCGAAUUAUUCCAGCUUAAGUGCCUAAGUCACGCCUCAGGGGCCGUAACACACUUAAAUCGGAAUAACCCGUCAGUCCCUCAGAUCUAGUCUGAUAGAGCCACUUAACCAGGAUCAAAUUCCACAAUCUCACUCGAAGGUGAGUCACAGAAGAAAUACAAUAAAACAGGAAACCUCAAAUUAAGUACUGAGUUAUUACAUAAAUCGGAGUUUUUGAGUAGCAAAUAAAGUUCACAACAUAAAGUGCAGCGGAUAAUCGAUGUCGUCGGUAAUGAGGAAAUGGGCAAGGCCUAGCCCACUACUCCUCAGGCUCCUCUCCUGCCGGAGCAACAUCCCACUCGACCGUCCAACCCGGUGGCAGGGUGGUAGGCCAAGUCACACCAUCAACUACAUCCUGCAUGGUACCUGCAAAAAUGGUGCCACAAGCAAGGCUGAGUAUACUAAUACUCAGCUAGACUUAACCGGUGUGAGGAGUCUACUCCUCUACCUCUAGACUAUGCAGCUGUUUGGCUGAGGGGUUUGGUUUGCCAAAAGCACUAGCUGUUUCUAAAAUCAACUUUUAGCUUUUCAAUUUCUACCAUCAUUAAUUCAGCUAGAUUUGCUCCUUCUAAGCAUACAUGGUAACAAGCAAUUAGCUCAAUCAACAAGUUAUCUCAUGUAAUCCACAUUUCACUUCUUACUCGAUGCAGUACAAGGAAUCAAGCAGUCUCAUUAGCUGCGAGAAGCAGACGAUUCGAAUCGAGUUUUAACCUUGCAAGGUAAACCUAAACACACGGCAUGUCAGGGUACUCCGACCCCACACAUGACAACCGUCCCCAUCGAUUCCCCGUUCGCGUCCAGGCCUCACCGCCUUGGCAUACAAUGCUCCACUAACCCCGGCUGCCGCCGUGCAGUGACCGCACUUGUACCCACCAUAGCUAGCAUGGGAGACCCUGUCUCAGGUCGCAUGAGGGAUAAAGUCCCGCCCGGCUUCACUCAGGUACUAGGUUUACCGGUUACCAUUUUUCCGGCAUGUGCUUAGUACGUUCAAAAGCUUGACUCAGGUAUCCACACAUUAAUCCUUAAUUCAUUUUUCCCGUCUCAUGGACAAGGCAUCCUCCCUGGAUCCAAGUCCAUAGACCAACAUAGAUCCCGUUAUCAAGAUGAAUACAAUCAAUUCCUGACCUCGCGCGAGUGCUAGAAAAAUCACUCGACUUCUACCGAGAUCCUGAUUAGCAAGCAGCUACUCGACCUAGCAUACUAGUAUUCAUCUCAAAAGGAAUCCUAAGUUCAUGCAACUAGAGGUUUCAAGCAACUCCUACACUUAAGUGCACAUUACAGUCCUACAAGCAUUAAGUGUAGUAAAGUAGCAUAUAAUAACAUGGUUAUGCAUAAAACCGGGGCUUGCCUUCAAUUGCUGGGGCUGCGGGGAGAUCCUCAAUAGCAGCCUCUGAAGCCUGCUCCUGGUCCUCCUCUUGGACAGGUCCUUGCUCGGGGAUGAGCACGUACUCUCCGUCGGCAAGAUUACAAUCUAAUGAAUGCAAUGCGUAAGAUAUAUGCAUGAUAUGAUAUGUGCUUUUAGAAAUUAUAACUUUACAGGUGUAUGGUCCUUUUGAAUUUAAACAAGUUAACCUUACUUAUGUAAAACCUUUUAGUGGUAUACUUGGUAAAUUGGGUUAGUUUUAAUGGGAUGAGGUUUAUUCCUUCUUCUCUUUUCUUUUAUUCUUUUAAUGUUUUGGAGUAGGUUUGAACUACAAGUUGCUUUUAUAAAAUUCCAAAAAUUCUGCAAAAAUUACAGUGGCUUGUUACUGGUGUAUGAUUCUCUGUCUCAAAAUUUGGGGUUCAGAAAGUGAAUGGUUUUCUCUGGACAAAAUUACCAAAUUUUAGGGCAGAAGGGGUACUUUGAACUACAACUAUUAUUUAACAGUGGGUAAUUCUUUAAAACUUAUUUUUGUUGGCUUUUAGGUGUCAUAACAUGACUUGAUACAAUUUUCUAGUCAUUAAUACCCUUUAAUUCUUUCCCUAAGAUUUUCUUAAGGUUUCUAGCCAAAGGGGUGCUUUCUACUACCACUAUACUUGAAAAACAUCAAACAAAGAGUUCUUAUUUUUCUUAGUUGGUAUUUUGUGCAAGAGCAAUCAUUCUGAAGUUUGGCUUCUUUUUGCUUAAGGGAAGGGGUGGUUUGCAUUAUUUAAGUCAAAUGGCCUUUCUCACAAAUUACUAGCAAAAGGCAUGGGUUCACUUCUUUUCAUGGGUUUGUAUUUUUCUUUGGUGGUUUAUCUCAUCAUGAACUUAGCAAAUUUUUGGUUGCCCAAUGUCACAUUAUUUGAGGUUGUUUAUGAUUUAUUGGGAAAAUGCCUUAUUACCACUUUGUAUUUAUUUUCCUUACUUAAAAAGUUAGGCUGGGGUGCUCUGUAUUUUUGUAGUGGGGCUCUGGUGGUUAUAAGUUCACUGGAUUUUUGUUAACCACUUUGGUUAUAGUUUUGCAAUUCUAAUAAUUGAUUUUCAGUCUACAUAAGGCUAAUUAAAGCAUCUUAAUUAGAAACUGGUCCUAAUUAAUGGUCUCUGCAUUUUUCCUAGGUUCUUUGUUGCAUAAGUAAACUAGGAAAAAUAUUGCUAAUCACUGUUCAACAUUUUCUAAUGUUUUUCUGAUUUUCUCUAAGUUUUGGACAAAAUGGCUUUAAAUGAAUAACUACAUCAUAAUCUCUAAUGCUGGGGCUCCUACUAUUUUUAAACAGUGUCUAAUUAAAGUAUAAGCAUCUACAAAUUUUCUUAAGCUCAGCACAAAAGAAAAACUAAUUUUCCUUAAUUAAACAAGGUUUAGGGGGUUUCUGUUUUUAAUUUUAAACUCUAAAAUUUAGAACAGAAAGCAUAUGGUUCACUAUUUUUAAAUGAAGGGUCAUAAUAUUCCAGAGUUAGCAAAAUUGGUUUGACAGCUUUUCAUUAAGAUUUCAUCAAGUUAUGGAUUUUCUAAGUUCUCUGGUUAUUUUAAAAGAAUAACAGAAUUGAUUAAAUGGAAAACCACUUUGCACUGGGGUCCCUGACGGUUUUUCUAAGUUUCCUUCGCGAAUCAGUCCUUAGGUUACUAUUCACAUGAGUCGCUGACAUUACAGAAAACCCCUCGGGUUCUACAAAACCUAACCCGAGGUCCUUCUUCUACCUCCAACAGUAGCCGCGGUGAAGAAAAGGGCGGAGGGGCUUACCGGCGGCGAGACUGUUCCGGUGAAGUGGUCGAGGACGAAGGGGAGGUCGCGGGGAUCACAACGGUGUGCGGAACGCCGUCGGAGAUGGCCGGAGUCGGUCGGUCCACGCGCGCAGGCGGGGAUGCUCGUCGGCGGCGAGGAGACCGGCCUGGUCACGGCGAGAUAGUUCAAUCAAAUAGGUCAGGGAGGUCCACGGGUUGCCAGAGAAGACAUGAGUGAAAGGAAUCGGGCGGAGACUCACUGGAUAGCUCGGUCCACGCGCGGCGGCGGAAGACCGAAGUCCGGUGAGGUUGAUCUCGGGCCUCCGGUGAAGUCCGGUCGGGUCCGAGGGCUUGGCAAGCUUCACGGGCUACUGGCGGAGCUAGCCGAAGCACUGGUUGGGCUGGAGGGUGGCUGGAGUGGGCUGGCCACGGCGGCCGUAGCUCUGGCGGCAAUGGCGGGCGGAAAUACGCUCGCCGGAGCUAAGGAACGGUGACUGGCCGGUGAGGGUGAGUGCGGGGCGAAGAGAGGUGCACCCGGGGAGGCUUUAUAGGCGCGGGCGGGCACGGCCGAGGGCGUGGGCGCGCGGCGGACUUGACCGGACGCCGGGGUGAGCGCGCGCGCGGGUUGGGCGAGCUCUGGCGUGCCGACCAGGGUCGAACACGUGUGCCCGUGCGUUCUGCCCAAGCUCUGGCGCGUGUGGUCGCUCAUCCGAGCCUGCUCUCGCCUUAGUCAGUGCACGAAACCUCUUCUCCUCCCUACAAGCUACCAUUCUUGUGUGGGUGCCAUAGGAUUUUGCCUACUGGUUGCAGAGAUAUGGAGCCAGGAAAUCUGGUCUGUCUCCCUGCCUAAACCCGAGGCAAAUCCAAGGUUUUGUCGUGUCUAGGGCUCGCGUCCCAAUGCCAUCUUCUGGCACACGACAUAGGGGUUAGUUAGACACAAUUUUGUCAAUGGGGCCAUUAGGAUUCGAGUUAGGGAUCAAGGUGAACAUCCCUGAUCUUUGGCUCAAGGUCUGAAUUUCAGAAUUCUGAAAUUCAGAAUUCCCAAUGAGUCCCAACAAAAGAAGCUUGAUUUGGGGUUUUAUUUGGAUUAUUUUGGCUAAGCUUCCUCAAUCUUUCUUGUUGCUUAUCAAAUAUACUUUAACUUAUAUAAUUGGCUCAACUCAAAAUUUUAAACUUUUCAUUCCCUUUUUCUUAUUUUCUUGAAUUUUGUUCAUGGGAUUCACUUAGGGUUCUUAAUUAGGGUUGCACAUUCUUAUCUUUUCAAAGACUCAAUUGUUUUGAUCAUGACACAUUUAAGUAUAUACUUGGUGAAUUCUUUAUUACUUAAGUUAAUUUGAUGCUCAUGCUUACUUUGGUUCACAUAAAAUAAUGGUUCUUGGUUUGGCUUUUUAAGAGAAACCCUAGGUGACACUGGGGUGUCACACAUAUUGUAUGUUUUCCACAAAACUGACCUUUGACCUGAAAAU
rnacentral:lncRNA from 1 species